GCUUAACACAUGCAAGUCGAGGGGCAGCAUGGUCUUAGCUUGCUAAGGCCGAUGGCGACCGGCGCACGGGUGAGUAACACGUAUCCAACCUGCCGUCUACUCUUGGACAGCCUUCUGAAAGGAAGAUUAAUACAAGAUGGCAUCAUGAGUCCGCAUGUUCACAUGAUUAAAGGUAUUCCGGUAGACGAUGGGGAUGCGUUCCAUUAGAUAGUAGGCGGGGUAACGGCCCACCUAGUCUUCGAUGGAUAGGGGUUCUGAGAGGAAGGUCCCCCACAUUGGAACUGAGACACGGUCCAAACUCCUACGGGAGGCAGCAGUGAGGAAUAUUGGUCAAUGGGCGAGAGCCUGAACCAGCCAAGUAGCGUGAAGGAUGACUGCCCUAUGGGUUGUAAACUUCUUUUAUAAAGGAGUAAAGUCGGGUAUGGAUACCCGUUUGCAUGUACUUUAUGAAUAAGGAUCGGCUAACUCCGUGCCAGCAGCCGCGGUAAUACGGAGGAUCCGAGCGUUAUCCGGAUUUAUUGGGUUUAAAGGGAGCGUAGAUGGAUGUUUAAGUCAGUUGUGAAAGUUUGCGGCUCAACCGUAAAAUUGCAGUUGAUACUGGAUAUCUUGAGUGCAGUUGAGGCAGGCGGAAUUCGUGGUGUAGCGGUGAAAUGCUUAGAUAUCACGAAGAACUCCGAUUGCGAAGGCAGCCUGCUAAGCUGCAACUGACAUUGAGGCUCGAAAGUGUGGGUAUCAAACGGGAUUAGAUACCCUGGUAGUCCACACGGUAAACGAUGAAUACUCGCUGUUUGCGAUAUACUGCAAGCGGCCAAGCGAAAGCGUUAAGUAUUCCACCUGGGGAGUACGCCGGCAACGGUGAAACUCAAAGGAAUUGACGGGGGCCCGCACAAGCGGAGGAACAUGUGGUUUAAUUCGAUGAUACGCGAGGAACCUUAUCCGGGCUUAAAUUGCAGAUGAAUUACGGUGAAAGCCGUAAGCCGCAAGGCAUCUGUGAAGGUGCUGCAUGGUUGUCGUCAGCUCGUGCCGUGAGGUGUCGGCUUAAGUGCCAUAACGAGCGCAACCCUUGUUGUCAGUUACUAACAGGUUCCGCUGAGGACUCUGACAAGACUGCCAUCGUAAGAUGUGAGGAAGGUGGGGAUGACGUCAAAUCAGCACGGCCCUUACGUCCGGGGCUACACACGUGUUACAAUGGGGGGUACAGAGGGCCGCUACCACGCGAGUGGAUGCCAAUCCCCAAAACCUCUCUCAGUUCGGACUGGAGUCUGCAACCCGACUCCACGAAGCUGGAUUCGCUAGUAAUCGCGCAUCAGCCACGGCGCGGUGAAUACGUUCCCGGGCCUUGUACACACCGCCCGUCAAGCCAUGGGAGCCGGGGGUACCUGAAGUGCGUAACCGCGAGGAGCGCCCUAGGGUAAAACUGGUGACUGGGGCUAAGU
rnacentral:rRNA from 1 species